GGGCGUAUAGCUCAGGGGUAGAGCAUUUGACUGCAGAUCAAGAGGUCCCCAGUUCAAAUCUGGGUGCCCA
rnacentral:tRNA from 2 species